rnacentral:rRNA from 1 species
AAAGGUAAGCUACUAAGAGCGAAUGGUGGAUGCCUUGACUGGUAAAGGCGAUGAAGGACGUACUAGACUGCGAUAAGCUACGGGGAGCUGUCAAGAAGCUUUGAUCCGUAGAUUUCCGAAUGGGGCAACCCAAUGUAUAGAGAUAUACAUUACCUAUAUAGGAGCGAACGAGGGGAAUUGAAACAUCUUAGUACCCUCAGGAAAAGAAAUCAAUAGAGAUUGCGUCAGUAGCGGCGAGCGAAAGCGCAAGAGGGCAAACCCAGUGCUUGCACUGGGGGUUGUAGGACUGCAAUGUGCAAGAGGUAAGUUUAGCAGAACAUUCUGGAAAGUAUAACCAUAGAGGGUGAUAGUCCCGUAUGCGAAAAACAAACCUUAGCUAGCAGUAUCCUGAGUAGGGCGGGACACGAGGAAUCCUGUCUGAAUCCGGGUCGACCACGAUCCAACCCUAAAUACUAAUACCAGAUCGAUAGUGCACAAGUACCGUGAGGGAAAGGUGAAAAGAACUGAGGUGAUCAGAGUGAAAUAGAACCUGAAACCAUUUGCUUACAAUCAUUCAGAGCCCUAUGUAGGAAUACAG